GGAAGAGGGGAGAGAGAGGGGAUGAUGAAGGAGGAGCACGUAUCCUGGAGAAACCGCAAGACAUGCUGUAUUAAGAACAUCAGUCUGCUGCUUCAAGUACUGCAGAGCAUGGGCAGGGAAAGGGGAAACCUUGUCUUAAAGGCACCAACUGCAUGGGAAAAGUUUUUUAUUAAUUGCACAGUUCUUCAUAAAGAAAUGCACUCAAUUCACACCUACCAAAAUUUGAGUUUGGCUUCAAAGUCUACUUCAAAUAGGGUCAUCAGCUGGAAGAAAGACAGACAGGCAAAAAUGAGAUGUGAAGUUGCAAUAAGAUUGGUUCAUCUCUUCUGAAGGCAACGUAUAAGGACAGACUAGCUGGGGAUAGUAGGCUACACUGAAUACUAGUCUCUCUGAUGUGCUAUACCUCUUCAGUGAAUAGGUAUAUCAAGAAAAGUCAUUUCUAGUAGGAUAAUCUUCACUUU
ensembl:antisense Gm4128 predicted gene 4128